rnacentral:rRNA from 1 species
GAUGAACGCUGGCGGCGUGCCUAAUACAUGCAAGUCGAGCGAACGGACGAGAAGCUUGCUUCUCUGAUGUUAGCGGCGGACGGGUGAGUAACACGUGGAUAACCUACCUAUAAGACUGGGAUAACUUCGGGAAACCGGAGCUAAUACCGGAUAAUAUUUUGAACCGCAUGGUUCAAAAGUGAAAGACGGUCUUGCUGUCACUUAUAGAUGGAUCCGCGCUGCAUUAGCUAGUUGGUAAGGUAACGGCUUACCAAGGCAACGAUGCAUAGCCGACCUGAGAGGGUGAUCGGCCACACUGGAACUGAGACACGGUCCAGACUCCUACGGGAGGCAGCAGUAGGGAAUCUUCCGCAAUGGGCGAAAGCCUGACGGAGCAACGCCGCGUGAGUGAUGAAGGUCUUCGGAUCGUAAAACUCUGUUAUUAGGGAAGAACAUAUGUGUAAGUAACUGUGCACAUCUUGACGGUACCUAAUCAGAAAGCCACGGCUAACUACGUGCCAGCAGCCGCGGUAAUACGUAGGUGGCAAGCGUUAUCCGGAAUUAUUGGGCGUAAAGCGCGCGUAGGCGGUUUUUUAAGUCUGAUGUGAAAGCCCACGGCUCAACCGUGGAGGGUCAUUGGAAACUGGAAAACUUGAGUGCAGAAGAGGAAAGUGGAAUUCCAUGUGUAGCGGUGAAAUGCGCAGAGAUAUGGAGGAACACCAGUGGCGAAGGCGACUUUCUGGUCUGUAACUGACGCUGAUGUGCGAAAGCGUGGGGAUCGAACAGGAUUAGAUACCCUGGUAGUCCACGCCGUAAACGAUGAGUGCUAAGUGUUAGGGGGUUUCCGCCCCUUAGUGCUGCAGCUAACGCAUUAAGCACUCCGCCUGGGGAGUACGACCGCAAGGUUGAAACUCAAAGGAAUUGACGGGGACCCGCACAAGCGGUGGAGCAUGUGGUUUAAUUCGAAGCAACGCGAAGAACCUUACCAAAUCUUGACAUCCUUUGACAACUCUAGAGAUAGAGCCUUCCCCUUCGGGGGACAAAGUGACAGGUGGUGCAUGGUCGUCGUCAGCUCGUGUCGUGAGAUGUUGGGUUAAGUCCCGCAACGAGCGCAACCCUUAAGCUUAGUUGCCAUCAUUAAGUUGGGCACUCUAAGUUGACUGCCGGUGACAAACCGGAGGAAGGUGGGGAUGACGUCAAAUCAUCAUGCCCCUUAUGAUUUGGGCUACACACGUGCUACAAUGGACAAUACAAAGGGCAGCGAAACCGCGAGGUCAAGCAAAUCCCAUAAAGUUGUUCUCAGUUCGGAUUGUAGUCUGCAACUCGACUACAUGAAGCUGGAAUCGCUAGUAAUCGUAGAUCAGCAUGCUACGGUGAAUACGUUCCCGGGUCU